rnacentral:rRNA from 1 species
AUUGAACGCUGGCGGCAGGCCUAACACAUGCAAGUCGAACGGUAACAGGAAGCAGCUUGCUGCUUUGCUGACGAGUGGCGGACGGGUGAGUAAUGUCUGGGAAACUGCCCGAUGGAGGGGGAUAACUACUGGAAACGGUAGCUAAUACCGCAUAACGUCGCAAGACCAAAGAGGGGGACCUUCGGGCCUCUUGCCAUCGGAUGUGCCCAGAUGGGAUUAGCUUGUUGGUGAGGUAACGGCUCACCAAGGCGACGAUCCCUAGCUGGUCUGAGAGGAGGACCAGCCACACUGGAACUGAGACACGGUCCAGACUCCUACGGGAGGCAGCCGUGGGGAAUAUUGCACAAUGGGCGCAAGCCUGAUGCAGCCAUGCCGCGUGUAUGAAGAAGGCCUUCGGGUUGUAAAGUACUUUCAGCGGGGAGGAAGGGGAUGUGGUUAAUAACCGCGUUCAUUGACGUUACCCGCAGAAGAAGCACCGGCUAACUCCGUGCCAGCAGCCGCAGUAACAC